AUGUGACUUUGCUGACUGAACACAGGCCUGAAAAUGAACGAAAAUAAAGACUAAAUACUGGAGGGAAAUGUCUGCUUUGGAAUAGAACUCUUCAUGCUUAAAAUUAUGCAAAGUAAUGAAGCGGUUUUGUGUUUUCUGUUAACCCUUAAAGCCCGUUAGGCCCUGUGUGUGUGUGUGUGUGUGUGUGUGUGUGUGUGUGUGUGUGUGUGUGUGUGUGUGUGUGUGUGUGUGUGUGUGUGUGUGACACCUGCGCAUGUGCGUUAAGGCCCCGCCGAGCAACAAACACUUUUUUAUUUAUUUUUUGACUCCUGCUCCAGUUUAUGGUAAAAGUCUGAAAGUUACCGGAGGCAGAACAUUUGUGCUGCUGUUUUUCUUUUCUUUUCUUUUCUUUUCUUUUCUUUUCUUUUCUUUUCUUUUCUUUUCUUUUCUUUUCUUUUCUUUUCGGGCCUGACGCACACACACACCAACAUGGCUGCACGUGAAAACCUUGUAUCUCCAAAACGAUAAUUUUAUUUUAUUUUUCGUUUUUCCAGAGUAAAAACAACCAUAGCCAUGAUUUGAAUUAAAACUGUUGAAUCUCCUACAGAUUUCAUAAAACAAGUGUCAUGAACACGGCACUCAUUUGGACUCUUUUAAUAAUAAUAAUAAUAAUAAUAAUAAUAAUAAUAAUAAUAAUAAUAAUAAUGAUAAUAAUAAUACUUUUAACUUGCACAAAAAUAAAAAAAUAAAUGGAGAUACAAGAUUUUCCGCUAAUUCUAUAUAUGCAACGUAAUAUUUAUUUAUUUAUUUAUUUGGGAGGGGAAAAAAAAGAAAAGCAGCAAAACUUCAAGAAACUCUUCCUCAUGUAUUUGAUGUCAUUUCUACAAUCUGAUAUUCACAUAAACUUGACUGAAGUGGAAGUGAAAAGACAACUGGCCACACAAAAAUAGGAUCCAUAAACUCAUGGUUUUUAGUUCAGCUUGCACCAGUUUUUCAUCUUUCUUUGCCUGUUUCUAACUCUGUCUUUUCACAGCCAUGUUUCCAAAAACUCUGGGGUUUAAAUUUUUUUGUUCUUGUUUAUUUUAUUAUUAUUUUUGAACAGGUCUAAGGACACAUUUCUAAAGUAAAUAAGAGCUCUUAAACUAUAAUUUGUUUUAUUUGUCUCUAAAGCAACAGAAGACUAAAAACAUGUUAUUAGAGUUUUUAAAGCAGAACAUUUCAUCCAGUUGAACAUUAUUUGGAAAAAGUAACACUUUCCAUUUAUUAAAAUGAAUAUAUGCAGUAAUAAGCAUUAACUAACAGUUAAUUAAAUGUGAAAUAAUGUGUCUAGUGUAAUUAAUUAAUUAAUGUGUAUGCAUUAUAACUUAUACAUUUUUAUAUUAGUCGGUUUAAUGAUAUUUAAAGAUAUUUUAGUUAGUUAGUAAUUAAUAAACAUUUUCAGAGUGUUAAUCAACGUAAUAAGAAUUAAUUGACUGCUAAUAAAUGCCUUUUAAAAAUAUUUAUUAAGGUUUUACAUUUAAUUAAGAUACUAAUUGGAGUAAAUAGUUGAAAAAUGUAAAUCCUCUGUAAAUAUUAACAAAAGACAUUUAUUAACAAAUACCUACAGUUAAUAUUUUAUUAAUUAACACAGAGUCACCACGUAUAUUAAUAAACUUUGUUUCAAUAAAGUCUAAAAUAAUUUUUACAUAAAAACAUUAAGGAAUAAUUACCAGACACAUUUCUCAGCUGUAAACUAACUCUUAGUUGAUGCUUAUUCCAGCAUUAACUCAUUUUAUUAUUCAUGUUAAUGCACUGCAAUAAAGUGUUCGCUGGAAAAAUCUACACAUUAUUAUUUCUAAAAUAAUUUUGUUCAAAUAUAGAACAAACCAAAUCAUAGAUGUUUGACAAUCAGAGAAUGGAUCACCGAGGUAUUGAUCGGUCCAUCAUAGAUCUCAGGUUGACGCUGUCUGAGCUCUGAAACACAAACCCAUUAAAUGAAGGUUUUACAAAAAGACCCAACACUGGAAAUGAAAGCUUCAGCUUCAGCAGAAACAGGCCCGUUUCUGCCCUCAGUCCUGUUUCUAUAUGACCUCACUGCCCUAUCAGCUGAUACGUGGCCUCAGAAAACAAUAAGUCAUCCAAGAAUUGUGAAUUCUUCUUCUUUUCAAAGGCAUUUUGCUUGAACACGUCCCUGAUCUUCCAUGUGUUUUGGGCCUUUAACCAUAAAAUGAACCAGACUGGAGCUACAGGAGCUGGACUUUUCUGCUUCUUUCUCUUUGAGUGGGAAACUGCAAAUAGGAAGCAGCUGAAAUGUAAUGUUUUUUUCUCACAUAUUUUCAAUGCUGAAUUUGACAGUGGAAAACAGAGGAAGGUAUAAAAGUCUCAGACCAAACUCCAAGUUGACGUUUAGACACAUUCAGGUUGUUCCAGUUAAAAGCGUCACAUCUGUUUUUUUUUCCUUUUGGUUGUAAAUGGAUGCAGUCGAGCAGGUCUGACUGAUCCUCAUUCUGUUCACAUGUUCACACAAAAAUCCUGCUUUUGUAUAAUUUCCUUUUUUUUUUUUUUUUUUUUUUUGCACUGUUUGUCAGUAGCUUUCACCUGUAUGAAGUCUGUACUGUCUGUUCUGUUGCUGUUUGUCUUUAUCUUUUUCAGAGAAUUUAAAUUUGAUUUAUUAAAAUGGAUGAAAUAACCUGAA